GUUUUUGCAGAUUAUUCUGAAACUCAAACUGGACAUGCAAGCAACAGAAGACUAUUAGUGGCAAUUCCACUUUCACAAAAAUUCUUACAUCACACUGUUGUCAUAGGCAACCUAGGCAAUUGCCAAGGCUUGGGUAAGAAAAGGUGUAAGCUAAGUGCCUCACUUAGGUCCAGCUAAGGCGACUUCACCCAGAUACUAGCCUACUAUAUUUAUUGCUUAUUUGGCUAAUCUUAUUCCUGUCAGUCAUUAAAAUCACUUCUGAAAUGCAUCAAAGAUUGAGAUAUCAAUUACAAAAAGAAGAAGAUGACUAAAAGCAGGGUUAAACAG
rnacentral:misc_RNA from 1 species